CAGGGAGCGAGCAGCGCGACGUCAACACUUUCAUGUCGUCCUUUCUCACUGUGAUCCGAAAUUUCAUCAGCUGUGCCCCCAAAACACUUUUUUCACCUUAGAUCCACUCUGUGCUUUUCAACUACAGGCAAUUGAUGCAGAGGAGCUGCUGCCGACGCUUUGGAGCUCCCUCUCGUGGAAUCACUGCAAAGAGACGAGCAGCACGGCUGCUUUGUUCAGGCAGCUCAAACAGGGCAGAACAGGAAGUCCUGGGUUGAGGCGGGCGUCACCUCGCACAUUGUGUGCUCAGGGUGACCAUCUGCUGGCCCGUCUCAGCUCAGACAGUGUCCUGUGACAGCGCACGCCGGUCCUCACCCGACCUUUGGUGCCGUCUAUGACGCUGCGCGGGGCUCGUCUCACAACCGGCGCUUCCAGCGAGCCGCUCGAGCCGCUUCGAGGGGAUCCGAGGAGGGGCCUCAAGCUGCUAUAGACUUUAAUACAUGUUGUUCAAAUAAGUGCAGCUUAGAGCUCCACGCGCAGGCUCCGCAAGCUGGGAACAAAGACCUACCUCCACCUUCUCUCCAGCCUUUAAACUGGAAGUCAGCCACCUCCUAACUCACCAACAAACACAGUCACGAUUCAAACAAAGCCACUUUUUAUGUCUAUUUGAAUGUCCACAUAACAGCAACGGCUCAUUUCCUGCUGAAAUACUUACAUCAAAUGUCAGCUGGUGAUGGAAACUAGGUCCCAGCAGCCCUCUCAUACUCAACCCUAAUGAUUCUAGUCCAUACAGAAAGGAUUAGUGGGUUUUUUUGUAAAUUUAACACACUUCCUGUUUAUUGUGAGCAGAAGCUGCUUGAGCCUGUCUCUGGUUUUGUAAUGACUUUGUAACAACACACUCAAUGCAGCUCUCUACUGAAACUAAGCGUAACUGUAACUUCUUCUGUUUAUCACUAUCUCAGCCAAGUCCGCUUUUAAUACAUACAAACAUUUGUCAUAUAUAAAUAAUGGCUCGUCAUCAGCAUCAGAGCCAGCGCACUGACUCUACUAAGACCGUGGCGACCGGAGCUGGGCGCGUGCGCCAGCAGAGGGCAGCACGCAGCCUCGUUCAGAGCCGUUCCAGGAGCAGUGGCCUCAGCUGUAGCUCUGUUUUCCGUUUAAGGCAAUUGAAAAGCUGCUUAUCCUGUAAUAUCAGCCUAUUUACCUAAGAUUUGCACAAAAUGUGCAAGAACUAUUUUCCUCCUGGGGCCACAUGUCGUUUUCAUUUCUGCUUAAAAUGUCCUUGUCCUUCUUAUUUCGCGCUCACAUGGAUAAUAAGGACGGGGUUAUGGAAACCACUUAGGAAAAGUGGUGAUUUUGUGGUUUGUGCUGUCACUUGCAUGGAUCCGUAAGCUGCAGACAGCGGCGCACAUGACAGUUGUGACACCGCGCGCACAAACCACUAUGUAUUCCUACGCCGUGCUGAGCUUUUCUUGCACUAAAUAAAUCCUUUUCUUUUAGGGCCAUAAUGAGCGGGAGGCAUAUAAAACUCUAAAGAGAAGGGAGAAUUGAGACGCAAUGCGAUGAGAUGGGAGAAGCAAGGGGAGAGAAGAGAGACUUGAUGGCUGGUGCCAGAUCUGUGGUACAGGCAGAGGGAAAGAGGGAGUGAGAGCUCCUCUAGUCUUAGCCCCAUUUGAAACAGAUGCUGUUUAUAACCCAAAACCUUAAUGGGGAGCUCUCUGGUCUGGUGCUGGCCUAUGAUCGCGUUCCAGCCUAGCUCCAGUGCCCAUCUUUUUUUCUUGUAUGGGGAAAAAUGCCACAGGAAAAAAAUAUAUCUACUCUCCCCCUCCUGUACCAGGGGCAGCUCCUCUGUGAAGCCCUAGAUUUAUCCAAUCAAACCCCGCUCUCUGUGCUCACUUCAAAUAGCCGCCCCCCUGACUCCAGCCCUGCACUAAAAGGAGCCCUCAUCUUUCCUCUGACCACACAGCAAUAUGACCAAAGACAUGCUUAUUAUUUUAUAGACUGUGAUCUCUGAGCGCGUGUUAAAACAUAACCUAAAAGUGUGGAUUUUCAGGUUACACGUGAUCCCUUAAUAAAAUGCACCCAGCUGGUUGGCACCACGUUUUCAAAUGGGAGCAUCGGAAAUAACGCAGGUUAUAGGAGGAUGAGGCAGCUGUUGGUUCUGCCCCCGUGUGCACGUGCACCCCAAGGUUUUGUGUGAAGCAAAAAAUUUUUUAUUUAAGCGCCUCACUAAAAACCAAUUCAAGACUUAUUUUGAUUUCACAAACCUUUUAAUCUACUCCCGGUGAGUGCACAAGAUCAAAGAGGGAGCCGGCCACUUCUCAUCAUGCAAGAAAUAACAUUAUAUCUAUUCCAUUACUGGAAAACGUCGCCAAGAUUAGGACAGAUGAUUACUCGUCUAGAUGCUAUUUCAAGCAGAGAAUUAACUGGUAUUUAGUUUUUGCCCACUGGUCACAGUGACAAAGUGUAAUUUCGAUCUUGGAAUGCACAUGUGAAGCAAAGCAGAAUGACGGGAAGAAAAUAUCAUCAUUUGUCUUUUCUGCAGCUUUGCCCUAAUAGCAAAGGCAGGAAAUCCUUUUAACAUGCUGUCCUGUGCGUCCUGGUCCAUUUGCGUUGGGUUGUUUGCAAACAGCAUUUUAUGUUUUGAUUAAUUCUCCUGAGAUGUGAUUGCAUGACAUCAAUUUUAUUUCUGUGAAUGUGUCUUUGAAUUAGAAAUAAAGCAGUUCUUUAUAGUUUUAUAAGUAAAAUGUAUAACAUUAAUGAUGCCGUAAUUGUUUUAAUCACAUUUUUAUUGAACAAAAUAAAAGACAAACUAAUCCAAUCUUCAACCCUGAAGAGGCCUUAAAGUUUAAGAUAAGAAGAGAGAAGGCUUUUAGAGAUUUAAUACUGUGCUGGAAAUGAUGCCUGUCUGGACUGGAGGGCAGGACUGCACAGAUCAAACAUGGGUUAAAGGGCAGUUUAAUGUUAAUAUCUGAUGUGACUUUAAGACAGGUAUCUGCCGGGACAUAAUUAGUAUGACGUUGCAAUCGUUGGAGCGAGCUGGGUUUCAGAGCACACAGCACACGGCACAUUCACUCUGAUUUAUAGCAAACACUGAAAGCAAAUGGGACACUGGGGGGAAAUUACACACUAUUAUUCCUGGGCUUAAACGUGAAAACAGCUCCUUUCAAAUAAAGACUAAACUCUGUCACUGCUGUGAUCUCGAAGGUGAUGAAACCUUCGAUGGAAGUUGUAGGGGAGCUUGAACUCUUCCAGGAUUAAAGGCGGUGGGGCCUGCGCUAUUAAGGACAGCUUGACUAGAAUGGGAAAAUAAAAGAUCUCGAGAACUUCUUCCUGUUUUGCCUUUUCUUUGCAACAGGAAAAGAAAGUUGCGGGCUCAGAAGCAGAACGUGGGAGCUUUGAUGUAAACUUCGCCUUUUAAAGAAUUCCUGUGUCAUUUUUGUGUGCCGUGUGAAGUUAAAGGGUUUUUUUUGAGGCCACGUCAUUUUUUUUCUUUACUGCUUGAUGGAGUUCCACUGUUGCGCAGACUCCUCUAUGAAACAUCCGUGUUGAUAAAUCACAAAUCUCCAAAGGCUCACCGGUCCAUGCCGCUAUUUCCACAUUUUUUGUGUCAUGAAGGCCCUUUAAGUAUAUAGAAAAACUGUGCCAUUCAAAUAUUUUGAUGCCUCUCUCCCCAUAAUUUACAACAUAAUUGUCUAUUUUUUCCCAUGCAUUAGUCUGGGAUCACAGACCCCCGAGGUUCAGACAUCUCUUUUCUGAGCCCAGAUCAAAUAGAGCUAGCUAACCAACACACUGGAUUCCCUCGCAAGGAAAACUGGGCUGCAUAAAUAUGGAUUUUAAUCACUGCCCACUAUUUAUCUUUCUCCUCCACUCAUCUUUUGAUGUUUCCAUAUUUCCAGGCUAUAAUAUGAGUAACAUCCUAAUCAGGGUGUGACAGGAAAAUCACUGUAUUUAUAUGAUUUCCUUUAACUGUUGUUUCUUCAAAGUUUAUAUAUUUGC